rnacentral:tRNA from 1 species
GCCGAUGUGGCUCAGCGGCGACAGCAGCGGCUUUGUAAGCCGCCUCCGAAAGGACACGUGGGUUCGAGUCCCACCGUCGGCU